CCGGGUGGCCCAUACCUUUAGGGCCACCCAGUGAGCAUGUUCCAGCAGGGGUCCGGUCGGCGCUGUGGCCCUUUAACAGCGCGACCGGGUCCUUGCUUAACGGCUGCAUGGGAGGAAGUGACGUCCGCGAAUCACUUCCUCCCACCUCAAAGAUAUCGGGCCGCGCGGGAGGCUGCUGAGCCAGCAUCCAGUGAGGAGGGGGAGCAAGAAGAGCC